CUACUUUAUUGACGUGGCAGAUUGAAAAGGGGAUUAGUAGAAAAUCAUCAAGUGUCCUGCAAUCGCGAAGGAACGACUGAUUUUAAAGUAAUCGAUAUUUGUCGGUUUGUUGCAGCUUCAGAGGUGAGGUGCAAGUGUAGGAUAAAGCGCGUGGAAGGGAAAGCGGUUUGAAACCUUUCCGUCAUAAGACAGUUUGCUACGCUAAGCCGAAGAAAGCGGCUCAAUGCAAAACGCAGCUGCAUGAAAUAUGGAUGAUCUUAUGCUAUAGUAAUCGAAAGUGGCGCUCACUUUAUCGCAGUUUCUUGGUACAAGAAACGGUGGUUCGGUCAGACUGUAACCUGUUUUUUACUGAUCAGGUAAUAGGUGUAGAAAUUAAAGACCGUUUUAUUUCGGCGAAACUGGGCGACGUUUCUUGCGUUAAUUUAAACACGUUAGAGUGGUAGGACAGCUGCUUAUUCUUACUGUGGUAAAUCAGAGACAAUUGCGGUUAAGCUACAAGACAUAAGAAAAUGUCAGAAGUGGAAGAAGACCCCUUUAUGCUUAUGAAUGCUGACGAAUUGAAGAUUUACAUUGCACAGUUACAAAGGGAAUCCGCAAACUCAAGAAUUAAGACCUCUGAAGGCAGCAAAGACCUGAUGUCGUUCAUACAAGACAACACAGCAAACGAUCCACUGCUGACCGGUAUUGACUCAAAAACGAAUCCUUUUAUAGAAAAAAAGGAUUGCAUUCUAUUCUAGGAUAAAUUGAAUUCAAUAUUACGGGUUUCCAAACUGACAAUCCGAGUUGAAAUGUUCGUUAUAAUAGGGUGGGGAAGAUGGGACACCUAUUUAAUUUAUUUUCUCGCCCUAUUUGGUAGUAAAUAAAGAACGUUGAAGAAAUUUUAAAACCGACUCCCAUAGACAGUUGUUAAUUGUUUAAAACACGAUCAGGAUAUUUGGACAUUAUAUGCUAAAGGUGUCCUAUGUUCCCUCAUCCUACUAAUGUUUACCUCCUUGGUAUCUGUUUGUUCCGGGUUACCGUACGUUCUGUAAAUGCUUAUUCUUAUACAUGUCUUAUGACUCUCAUUUCAACAAACAGUGUAAUAUAUUCUGCGGGUAGUGGAUUCGGCUGUAAUCCAGUCUUGGUUAAAACAUAGAUUUUUAAAAGCUUUAUAUAAACCUUCACGUUUUACCCGCAUACAAUUUAGUAUUUUUAAAGCCUUGCAAAUAUUAACAACACGAACCCAAACAAGCAACAUUGUGCGAAAGAAUAUUAAAUCCACUACAACGUACAAUCUGUAUAUUUAUAACAUAACUUAUUCCAUCUUUUCACUUACAUAGCAAAGUAUAUUCUCGCCUUUGAAGCAGCAUAUGGAUUCUGUACGCGACCUUAAAGAUUAUAUUUGUUGGGGUAAUAUGGUUCAAUAAUAUGGUUUUUAACAUCCCAUUUAGUAGUAAACGAAACAUAUUCACAUAUUUAUAAAACCGUAUCCUCAUACGACUUUAAAGGAGCGUGGUUAAAUGUUAAAGCACAUUUAGGAAAUAUAAGAAUUUAUGUGCUAACGGUAUCCAUCUUACCCCAUAUUACUAUGUAUUGUUUCGACGUUACAAAAAUAGGCACGUGUCACUGUGGUUCUUUUAUUUAAGUUGCGGGUUACCACCCUAUAAAUACUUCUGCACGUAAGUUGAUGUAACCGUCGUUUUUACAGUAUAUGCCCAGUCCGUUUAUUCAACCAAUCAAAUUUAAAUAAAACAGCCGUACUUUGAAUUAUUAGCAAAUAUAACGUAUAGGUUAUAGUUACUACUUUAUUUUAAACAGCGCAACAAAACAUGUUAAUUUAUAUAUUUAUUUUGUGUUGAAUUUAAGCGACUUAUUUUCUCCGUGCAAAUCUACGUGCGUUAAAGUAUUAUUAAAUGUGUAUUAUACUUGAAUUUGACCGAUGCUGCUUUCGUAUGAUGGUAAAAAAUGUGUAUAUAGUCAGUCA